CCAUCUGACGACGUGCACUCCUCCAUCUGACAAUGUGUACUCCUCCAUCUGAUGAUGUGUACUACUCCAUCUGACAAUGUGUACUCCUCCAUCUGACAUGCACUCCUCCAUCUGACAAUGUGUACUCCUCCAUCUGAUGAUGUGUACUCCUCCAUCUGACGUGUACUCCUCCAUCUGACGUGCACUCCUCCAUCUGACAAUGUGUACUCCUCCAUCUGACAUGCAUUCCUCCAUCUGACAAUGUGCACUCCUCCAUCUGAUGUGCACGCCUCCAUUUGACAAUGUGUACUCCUCCAUCUGAUGCGCAUUCCUCCAUCUGACGACGUGCACUCCUCCAUCUGACGAUGUGUUUUGAUGAAAACCCAGCAUCCCCUGUCACAGUUAAGAAACUCCUGCCCACUCUUAACUCUGCAGGUCCAUGUAGGUGUGGAGCAGCAAGAAUAAGACACAAAAGGCAUAAAGAUCAUAAGGGAAGAAGUGAAACGGAAUUGAUUUGCAGGUGAUGUGACUUUGUCGAAAACCCAAAGGCAUCUACAAGUUGCCAGAAUCAAGAGGUGAAUUUACCAACAAGUUGGGACACAGUGUCCAUGUACAAAAUCAGGGCAUGUCCCACAUUUUAGCAACAAACCAGAACCAAGAGGUGAAUUUACCAACACGUCAGGACAGAGUGUCCAUGUACAAAAUCAGGGCAUGUCCCACAUUUUAGCAACAAACCAGAACCAAGAGGUGAAUUUACCAACACGUCAGGACACAGUGUCCAUGUACAAAACCAGGGCAUUUCGCACAUUUUAGCAACAAACAAUUGGAAAAUAAAAUUUCAAAUACUAUUGAUAAAAUUAUCAAAAUUUAUUUGUAAAAUAUACUUAUAAAAGUAUCAAAAAUCCAUCAAAUACCUAGGAAUAAAUGUAAUGAAAACUAUGCAAUAAUAUUGCUUGGAGAAACUGAAAAAAACCUAAAUAAACGUUGAGAUACAUCAUGUGCAGGGAUCAGAAGCCUCAAUAUUGUAGGAUAUCAAUUCUCCCCAAAAUGAUCUAUAGAUUUGACACAAUCUCAAUAAACAUCCCAG
rnacentral:lncRNA from 10 species